UUAAUCGAAAUAAAAUUAAAAUGCUUAGUAAAAUUAUAAUUUAUUUCUUAUUAAUAUAUCUGAAUGCUUAUGUACAGACUGCACCUUCAAAUGCACGAUUAAGGCGUCAGAUUGAUGUAACGUUAUCGGCCGAGCAUGACGAUAAAGAGGAUGAAACAGAAAUUGUUUUAGAAGCUAUCGCCAAUUUAUGGCGCAGUUCGGAUGGUAAUACGCAAAUAGAAGGUUCUGCCAAAGUCAUACAUCGUUCGAAUUCAUUUCAAGAUGGUAAUAAUCGCAUUAGUGCACGUUUACAUGUGCACCAUGACUAUGCCAAAUUAAAUAACAAUAGAUGUGUCGGUUUAAUGUCCUGUUAAAGGUCCAAACGAUUGGCGUCUGGGUGUACGUGUAGUAUUUUCAUAAUGCAUGCAUUUCCAAAAAGAGAGAAACAGAGAGAGAGAGAGAGUAAAUAGUUAUUGGAUUAGAGAGUAUCAACGAUUCUUGAUUAUUCUGUGCAUCAAAUAUUCUUUGAUAAACUUUUGAACUUUUGAACACUGUGCAUACUGUGCUGCAUAAUAAGAAGAAUGAUUUGUUAAAAUAUUUAGUGUUUACAAAAUAAAGUUUUUCAAAUAUACUUAACAUUCAUUGUCGAAUCGAUUGAUUUGUUUUCUUGAAUGAACACUAUGAAACCAUGAAACAAAUUUCUCUCAAAACUCUUAACUUCAAUGUUAAAUGUUUUCUAAGGAAAUUUUAGCCGCGUAAGUCGGGUAAAACUUGCUUUCGUUUCGUUGUUUGAAUAUGAUCUAGUAUUUCGAAGACUGGAUAAUUAAACUCGUUAGAAAAGAGUUUUUUAACGAAGCCACAACGGAGAUUAGAAGAUUAUUUUGUCCAAAAUUCCGUACAGUGUCAACUUUGUACAAUUCAAUUCUUUCUUAAGCAACGGUACAACUAUCAGAAGAUGCAACGGAAGGACGCAUUAUACGUUUUGCCCUUAAAAUUUGCUCUUUCCCGUCGCAAUACGCUCAGCGUAUCGAUUUUUCUUUCUCAACGAUACGUGGCAUUGGACCUGACGUCAUUUCCAUUGACAUUGCUUCAAUAACAAGCGGACGGACGGAUGUAUGGAUAUUGCAUUUUUAUAUUAAAAUAAAAAAUAUCAUUACGUGUCGAGACUGAUCAUUGAUGUCCACUUUUUUGUAUCACAUAAAAGCAAGGAACAUAUUUUGUGUAACGUCGUCAUAAUUUUUCGAUGGCAUUUCAACUAAAACUAAAACCAAUUUCUUUAGAAAAA